rnacentral:rRNA from 1 species
GAUGAACGCUGGCGGCGUGCCUAAUACAUGCAAGUCGAGCGAACGGACGAGAAGCUUGCUUCUCUGAUGUUAGCGGCGGACGGGUGAGUAACACGUGGAUAACCUACCUAUAAGGCUGGGAUAACUUCGGGAAACCGUAGCUAAUACCGGAUAAUAUUUUGAACCGCAUGGUUCAAAAGUGAAAGACGGUCUUGCUGUCACUUAUAGAUGGAUCCGCGCUGCAUUAGCUAGUUGGUAAGGUAACGGCUUACCAAGACAACGAUGCAUAGCCGACCUGAGAGGGUGAUCGGCCACACUGGAACUGAGACACGGUCCAGACUCCUACGGGAGGCAGCAGUAGGGAAUCUUCCGCAAUGGGCGAAAGCCUGACGGAGCAACGCCGCGUGAGUGAUGAAGGUCUUCGGAUCGUAAAACUCUGUUAUUAGGGAAGAACAUAUGUGUAAGUAACUGUGCACAUCUUGACGGUACCUAAUCAGAAAGCCACGGCUAACUACGUG